AUCAGUGAAAACGAGUAGGGCGGGACACGUGAUAUCCUGUCUGAAUAUGGGGGGACCAUCCUCCAAGGCUAAAUACUACUGACUGACCGAUAGUGAACCAGUACCGUGAGGGAAAGGCGAAAAGAACCCCUGUGAGGGGAGUGAAAUAGAACCUGAAACCGUGUACGUACAAGCAGUAGGAGCACCUUCGUGGUGUGACUGCGUACCUUUUGUAUAAUGGGUCAGCGACUUAAUUUUAGUAGCAAGGUUAACCGUUUAGGGGAGCCGUAGGGAAACCGAGUCUUAACUGGGCGUACAGUUGCUAGGAUUAGACCCGAAACCAGGUGAUCUAGCCAUGGGCAGGUUGAAGGUUGAGUAACAUCAACUGGAGGACCGAACCGACUAAUGUUGAAAAAUUAGCGGAUGACUUGUGGCUAGGGGUGAAAGGCCAAUCAAACCUGGAGAUAGCUGGUUCUCCCCGAAAGCUAUUUAGGUAGCGCCUCGGACGAAUACUACUGGGGGUAGAGCACUGUUAAGGCUAGGGGGUCAUCCCGACUUACCAACCCUUUGCAAACUCCGAAUACCAGUAAGUACUAUCCGGGAGACACACGGCGGGUGCUAACGUCCGUCGUGGAGAGGGAAACAACCCAGACCGCCAGCUAAGGUCCCAAAGUAUAGCUAAGUGGGAAACGAUGUGGGAAGGCUCAGACAGCCAGGAUGUUGGCUUAGAAGCAGCCAUCAUUUAAAGAAAGCGUAAUAGCUCACUGGUCGAGUCGGCCUGCGCGGAAGAUGUAACGGGGCUAAGCUAUACACCGAAGCUGCGGCUACGUACCUUAGGGUAUGUGGGGUAGGGGAGCGUUCUGUAAGCCGUUGAAGGUGGUCUGUAAGGGCUGCUGGAGGUAUCAGAAGUGCGAAUGCUGACAUGAGUAACGAUAAAGGGAGUGAAAAACUCCCUCGCCGGAAGACCAAGGGUUCCUGUCCAACGUUAAUCGGGGCAGGGUAAGUCGACUCCUAAGGCGAGGCCGAAAGGCGUAGUCGAUGGGAAACAGGUUAAUAUUCCUGUACUUCUUACAAUUGCGAUGGGGGGACGGAGAAGGCUAGGUGGGCCUGGCGACGGUUGUCCAGGUUCAAGUACGUAGGCGGGUGGUUUAGGUAAAUCCGGACCGCUAU
rnacentral:rRNA from 1 species